CUUAUUCCUGGACCUCCUAUUUAUAGACAAAUUUUUUAUAAUUUUUUGGUAGGAAAAGGAGUCCUAAAAUCCUUAGAAAUCAUAUUAAUCCCUUAGGAAUAUUCCUGGCCAUCUGAUCAGGCUUGGAUAGCUCAGAUCUGAUCAAAAAUCAACCAUUUUAAUCCUUAUCAGGGUUGGAUCGAACCACAGCCAUUCGAUCUGGGUUCGGAUAAGAUCUGAGCUGUCGAUCAGCACUUCUGAUCUCCAAUUCAAAGUCGGGAGCAUCCUCAGCUGCUGGAUCUAAGUCGAAUUGAAUCUCAGCCAUUAAAUCAUG
rnacentral:lncRNA from 1 species